CAGUUGAUGGUUUAUCAUCCCAUGGAUAGUACAUUUUCCCUCCAUUGUGAUCUCAACAAGUUAUCCUCCUUUAGUUUGUCUAUAUUACUGCAUACAAACUAACAGAUAAAUUGCUUGAUGCCUUGCAGGGCUGUUUUGGGCAGUGUAAGUGACAACUGUGCUCACCAUGCUCACUGUUCUGUGAUGAUUGUGAAAAAGCCCAAGAUCAAGCAUUAAGCUCUCUAGAUGAGUGCAUGGACCGGUGCACAUCCAUUCAAUUCUUGAAAGUAAUCACCAAAUGGCAUUGACAAUGUUGUAUCCAAGUUUUUACUCUGAAGUGAGUUUCAUUUGUCAUGACUUGUGAAUAUGCAUAAAAAUAGCAUGUUUGAGACUAAAUAAA